AAGGGUAGAGCUCGGUGGUAGAGUGUGUGCCUAGCAUGCACAAGGUCCUGGGUUCAACCCCCGGUACCCCCU
rfam:Camelus ferus unplaced genomic scaffold scaffold174, whole genome shotgun sequence.